rnacentral:rRNA from 1 species
GGACCAAGGAGUCUAGCAUGUGCGCGAGUCAUUGGGACAUGACUAAACCUAAAGGCGCAAUGAAAGUGAAAGUCCGCCUCGCGCGGACCUAGGGAGGAUGGGCGGUCGUUACGGCUACCGCCCCGCACUCCCGGGGCGUCUCGUUCUCAUUGCGAGAAGAGGCGCACCAAGAGCGUACACGCUGGGACCCGAAAGAUGGUGAACUAUGCCUGGUCAGGACGAAGUCAGGGGAAACCCUGAUGGAGGUCCGUAGCGAUUCUGACGUGCAAAUCGAUCGUCGGAACUGGGUAUAGGGGCGAAAGACUAAUCGAACCAUCUAGUAGCUGGUUCCCUCCGAAGUUUCCCUCAGGAUAGCUGGCGCUCGUUGCGUACGAGUUUCAUCCGGUAAAGCGAAUGAUUAGAGGCAUUGGGGUCGAAACGGCCUCAACCUAUUCUCAAACUUUAAAUGGGUGAGAUCUCCGGCUUGCUCGAACUCAUUUUUAAAAUGAAGCCGCGAGACUCGAAUCAGAGUGCCAAGUGGGCCAUUUUUGGUAAGCAGAACUGGCGCUGUGGGAUGAACCAAACGCCGAGUUAAAGCGCCUAAAUCGACGCUUAUGGGAUACCAUGAAAGGCGUUGGUAACUUAAGACAUCAGGACGGUGGCCAUGGAAGUCGGA